rnacentral:hammerhead_ribozyme from 1 species
GCACUGCUGAGGAGUCCUAAAAUAAGACGAAACGGCUGUCCAGUGC